rnacentral:rRNA from 1 species
AACGAACGCUGGCGGCAUGCCUAACACAUGCAAGUCGAACGAGACCUUCGGGUCUAGUGGCGCACGGGUGCGUAACGCGUGGGAACCUGCCUUUAGGUUCGGAAUAACUCAGAGAAAUUUGAGCUAAUACCGGAUGAUGUCUUCGGACCAAAGAUUUAUCGCCUUUAGAUGGGCCCGCGUUGGAUUAGCUAGUUGGUGGGGUAAAGGCCUACCAAGGCGACGAUCCAUAGCUGGUCUGAGAGGAUGAUCAGCCACACUGGGACUGAGACACGGCCCAGACUCCUAUGGGAGGCAGCAGUGGGGAAUAUUGGACAAUGGGCGAAAGCCUGAUCCAGCAAUGCCGCGUGAGUGAUGAAGGCCUUAGGGUUGUAAAGCUCUUUUACCCGAGAUGAUAAUGACAGUAUCGGGAGAAUAAGCUCCGGCUAACUCCGU